rnacentral:rRNA from 1 species
CCUACGGGAGGCAGCAGUGGGGAAUAUUGGGCAAUGGGCGCAAGCCUGACCCAGCAACGCCGCGUGAAGGAAGAAGGCUUUCGGGUUGUAAACUUCUUUUCUCAGGGACGAAGAAAGUGACGGUACCUGAGGAAUAAGCCACGGCUAACUACGUGCCAGCAGCCGCGGUAAUACGUAGGUGGCAAGCGUUAUCCGGAUUUAUUGGGUGUAAAGGGCGUGUAGGCGGGAGCGCAAGUCAGAUGUGAAAACUCAGGGCUCAACCCUGAGCCUGCAUUUGAAACUGUGUUUCUUGAGUGCUGGGGAGGCAAGCGGAAUUCCGGGUGUAGCGGUGAAAUGCGUAGAUAUACGGAGGAACACCAGUGGCGAAGGCGGAUUGCUGGACAGUAACUGACGCUGAGGCGCGAAAGCGUGGGGAGCAAACAGGAUUAGAUACCCUGGUAGUC